GAGACAGAGAGAGAGAGAGAGAGAGAGAGGCAGAGACACAGGCAGGGGGAGAAGCAGGCUCCAUGCACCAGGAGCCCGACGUGGGAUUCGAUCCCGGGACCCCAGGAUCAUGACCUGGGCCAAAGGCAGACGCUCAACCGCUGAGCCACCCAGGAGCCCCAUACAGCCACUUUCUUGAUGAGGAGACAGAGGCACAGGAAGGUAGAUAGCCUGCUCCGGGUCAGGAAUUCACUCCUGCGUAGGCUGGCACACAAACCCAGGCAGGCUGCGCCUGGCUAUUUCCGAGUGGGGCUGUGGACGGAGGGGGAACCCUUCAGCGCUGAGCUCUGUGGCCCCUAGAGUUAGCACAUCCACGAAGGCCACUUUGUCACCAACCCAGGCAAAGGAGACAGAGAGGAAGAGAAAUGAUCAUUACAGAAAUCUUCGGAGCCGGAUAGUUAUCGCACCACCCUGCGGAUUAUAUAAGACGACAACUGUGACAACUGCUCGGACACCCGGCCGAGUGCCUGGCUCGCAGCGCAGGACAAGAAAAGACAACGAAUAGGAUUAGUUUCUUGAUAUUGUGAUUAUGGACGAGCUCAGAGCUUUCCCCUAAGCCACUCUGUUUUAUCUCUUAGUCCCUUUAUGUUGUCACAAGGUGGGCCAGGCUGGUGGCCCUGGGCUUCCUGCCGGUAGAGCCAUAUCCGUGAUCACAUCACUCAAAGGGGGAAUGUCCCUGUCAGCCGAUGACAGGAUGAUUGGGGUGGGGUCCAGCCAAGCCCUAAGAGAUGAUUCAGCCAUAAAAAGGAAUGAGAGUCCAGUGGGCGUAGCUGGAAAUCCCAUGCCUCUUGACCACAGUGCAAGCAGGAAAUGUAAUACUGAUAUCAUCCUCAGUCGUCUUGCAAAUUUUUCCAGUUGUUCCAAUAAGACCCAGACCCGUGCUGUCCUCUGCAGCGGCCUCCAGUCACAUGCACCUGCCUGCUGAGUAACUGAAAUGUGGGGAGUAUGAACUGAGAUGUGCCGUGAAUGUAACACACACCCCAGAUUUCAGACUUACUGUAAAGAAAU
rnacentral:lncRNA from 1 species